UUUUUUGUUUGUUUUCCUUUUUGCCCAAUAGAGCCCUGCUCUACUGACCCUUCAAUGUGCCCGUGUGCCUAAAUAUUCCUGGUCGUGUGAAAAGAACCCAGGUAUUAGCUGAACUAAGGAGCACAAUUCUGCAACAUUUUGGCACCCAAACACGGGGCUUGAGAAAUGCAGUCAAGCUCAACUUGCAGAACUGAUGGGAACCCCUUGGGAAAACUGGCCUCAAAUGUUUGUCUACACAGUCCACAUACAGGGUUCUUAACCUGCGGAAACACUUUCUGAAAAUGUCAGAACUCUUGAAAACAUGGAUGAGGAAAAGCAUAAGUACUGCUUUAUGCUUUUCUUAUGAAUUUUAAAAGAUGUAAUUUAAAGCAUAUUUAACUAUCCGGCUAUUUUGGAGAUUGAAAAAAGAAGACCUGAUUUAUCAUGUGCAAUAUCUCACACAUCUGUCAUUUCUAUUCUACCGCAAUUCGAUGGAGUCUUGUUCUGUGGUCCAGGCUAGAGGGCAGUGGCAUGAUCUCGGCUCACUACAAGCUCUGCCUCCCGGGUUCACGCCAUUCUCCUGCCUCAGCCUCCUGAGUAGCUGGGACUACAGGCGCCCGCCACCACGCCUGGCUAAUUUUUUGUAUAUUUACUAGAGAUGGCUAGUGUUAGCCAAGAUGGUCUCGAUCUCCUGACCUCGUGAUCUGCCCACCUCAGCCUGCCAAAGUGCUGGGAUUACUGGCGUGAGCCACCGUGCCUGGCCAGCAUCCUCUAAUUAUUAUUCAUAGUUUGUGAAUUUAGGCCUACGUGAAUAAUAAUAUAAUAUUUACUAUGAUGUUACUAUCUACCAACCUUAUUUUUCUUUUCUAUAAAAUAGGAGCCAAAAUAAUAUUUAUGUCAUACCUUAUGAAGUUAAAAUAAAAUAUAACGAAUGAGGGGCUUAACAA
ensembl:lncRNA PURPL p53 upregulated regulator of p53 levels